GAUGAACGCCGGCGGUGUGCCUAAUACAUGCAAGUCGAGCGCACUGGCCCAACUGAUAUGACGUGCUUGCACUGAAUUGACGUUGGAUUCCCAGUGAGCGGCGGACGGGUGAGUAACACGUGGGCAACCUGCCCUGAAGCGGGGGAUAACAUCUGGAAACAGGUGCUAAUACCGCAUAACAACGAAAACCACAUGGUUUUCGUUUCAAAGAUGGCUUCGGCUAUCACUUCAGGAUGGGCCCGCGGUGCAUUAGCUAGUUGGUAAGGUAACGGCUUACCAAGGCGAUGAUGCAUAGCCGAGUUGAGAGACUGAUCGGCCACAAUGGAACUGAGACACGGUCCAUACUCCUACGGGAGGCAGCAGUAGGGAAUCUUCCACAAUGGGCGCAAGCCUGAUGGAGCAACACCGCGUGAGUGAAGAAGGGUUUCGGCUCGUAAAACUCUGUUGUUGGAGAAGAACGUGCGUGAGAGUAACUGUUCACGCAGUGACGGUAUCCAACCAGAAAGUCACGGCUAACUACGUGCCAGCAGCCGCGGUAAUACGUAGGUGGCAAGCGUUAUCCGGAUUUAUUGGGCGUAAAGCAAGCGCAGGCGGUUGCUUAGGUCUGAUGUGAAAGCCUUCGGCUUAACCGAAGAAGUGCAUCGGAAACCGGGCGACUUGAGUGCAGAAGAGGACAGUGGAACUCCAUGUGUAGCGGUGGAAUGCGUAGAUAUAUGGAAGAACACCAGUGGCGAAGGCGGCUGUCUGGUCUGCAACUGACGCUGAGGCUCGAAAGCAUGGGUAGCGAACAGG
rnacentral:rRNA from 1 species